GAUGAACGCUAGCGGCAGGCUUAAUACAUGCAAGUCAAGGGGGUAGCAAUACUACCGGCGCACGGGUGAGUAACACGUACAUAACAUACCAUAUACUGGGGUAUAGCUUUGGGAAACUGAAGGUAAUCCCCCAUAACAUUGCGAGAGGGCAUCUGAUUGCAAUUAAAGUUUCGACGGUAUAUGAUUGAUGUGCGUUUGAUUAGCUUGUUGGUAGGGUAACGGCCUACCAAGGCGACGAUCAAUAGCUGGCGUGAGAGCGCGACCAGCCACACUGGAACUGAGACACGGUCCAGACUCCUACGGGAGGCAGCAGUAGGGAAUAUUGGACAAUGGGCGAAAGCCUGAUCCAGCCAUGCCGCGUGAUAGAUGAAGGCCCUCUGGGUUGUAAAUAUCUUUUAUCUGGGAAGAAACAAUCUUAUUCUUAAGAUCUUGACGGUACCAGAGGAAUAAGCACCGGCUAACUCCGUG
rnacentral:rRNA from 1 species